UAACCCACCGAAAGGUGGGCUGAAUACCGCAUAUUCCGGCGAAUCCUUGGGUUUGUCGGUAAAGGUGGCCUCUUCAUGAAAGCUACCGGGAAGAGAUGAGUCCGCGUCCCCAUUAGCUAGUUGGUAGGGUAACGGCCUACCAAGGCGACGAUGGGUAGCUGGUCUGAGAGGACGAUCAGCCACACUGGAACUGGUACACGGUCCAGACUCCUACGGGAGGCAGCAGUGAGGAAUAUUGCGCAAUGGGGGGAAACCCUGACGCAGCGAUGCCGCGUGGGUGAAGAAGGCCUUCGGGUCGUAAAGCCCUGUCAAGUGGGAAGAACAGCUUGGGACGAAUAAUCUUCAGGUCUGACGGUACCACUGAAGGAAGCACCGGCUAACUCCGUGCCAGCAGCCGCGGUAA
rnacentral:rRNA from 1 species